GUUCUCCAACAGAUUAUAUUCUCUUGAGGCUUCAAGUUGUCCCUUUUAUCCAGUGAGGGUACUCAACUAAUUAAUAUACUAUGUCAAGUAGUAUAUUAUAUGAAUAACUUUUCCCUUUCAACUUUGUGAUUGCAUCGCUUCUUCCUGAUACUUGAAGUCUUACACAUUAGCAAGAAUCCUUAACAUCCUUGGUUAAGUUGAAAAUUAGCUUUGUACCCAUGAUAUGCCCCCCUUUCCAUCUUUGUAGUUUUCCUUGGAUCCUUGGUUUAAUUACACUAAUAUUUUGCUUACAAUGCCCAAUUGGUAAAAGCAUAUACUUAAACCACUGUGAGUAACCGUUUCUUUAGUAGCUAUUCAUUUUGAUAGCUUACCUGGACCACAGGUCCAUAGUGGUACUGUUUUGGGCUUUCUCUUGGUUGCUUAAGUCGAAUUGGACAAAAUUUUAGGAUUCUUUGUUUGUGUUUUUUUCUCUCUCGGUUCCUUGCCAAAUCCGCAAUUGUUGACCAAGAUUGAUCCAAAUGGAGCUUUUCUUUGACUUAGGUGAGUGAGUACGAGUUCUAAUUGUUCCAAAUACAUUGUUGUUUAUGCUGUCUGUUGUUUUUUUUUAUUCUGUCCACCCCACCUUUCUGGUGUUUUUCUUGCUCUUUGGUUAUGCCCUUACAAGAGUGAGUGCCUUUUUGCCUCAUCAAGAUUCCUGUGAAGAGUUUUUGGUUUGUGAUUUGUAUUUUAUUACCCUUCAAUAUUGCAUUUCUUACCUUUACAAAUUGUGGUUCUUCUUCUUACAUGCUCAUCGGAAGAGAUGGAUUAUAUUUUGCGUUGACAACCAAAACAAAUGGUAAAACACCAAAUGAAAAACAAAUGCCAAAAGCGGCAAGGGAGGAAGUGUCUUCUAGGUCAGAUAUGAAUGAAGAUUCAACUAACUCCUAUGAGCAUACUAAUCACAUGAGAAUUGCCACAUGGGGUUAUUAUACAUAUUUCAUGUACAUGUUUGCUUUUAAGACUUACGGGACCUGCUAACCUGUGGCUUCUAACCUGUGAUGGAUGUACAAUAUGCUGAUCAUGUGAUGUUGUUGUGUCAUUGGGUAUAUUGUGCUUGGUUUGGUAGGAAGGAGAGAUGUGUCUUGCAAUUUGGAAAAUGAUGUUACAAGCGUGAAUGCUUGGUGGAGGUACUAUUUAUUGAGUGUGUUUAGAGACUUUAAGCUAAUUCUAGUUUUGUUAUUAAAUGCAUGAAAUCAAAUGUGCAGAGAAAGGAGGUGAAUAAACUUACGUCCUUGCUAAUUGCAUAUUUUGUUGGCCGACAUGAAUGAAUAUGCUUUAGACCAUCCCAAUAGGAAUUAUACCUGCAUUUCUGUUAUUAAAUUUUGGUUGAUAAGGCUUCCCAUGGAAAAAUUGCUUCCCUCACUUGAGCUGUUUUAGACAAAUUUAUCAGCAAAAUAAGGCUGAUGUUAUGAAGCUCAUUGAUUUGCUGCUUUCUUACAGAGUAGCAUGGCCUUUCUAUUAAUGCAAGUAUAGCUUGAUCAGGAGACAAUCCAAAGGCUGAUUUUGUUUAUGGGAGUAUCCAUCCUGAUUCAGAGGUCAAGCAUGAUCAGAGAACCAGCUGGAUAUUUUUGUUGGAAGAAGAGACUUCGUAAGGCGAUCCUACCAUAUCUAUGGUAAUCAUCUAAGUUGGUUGUACCUCUUUUUUCUUUUCUUUUUGAACCAUAUACCAACUUGGUUGCUAAUGUCAUGUUUUGUUUUCUGUUGUAAUCAUCUAGUUCCAAAUGAAGAGAGAUUUGUGGACCUCAUUAAAAGCA